CUCCGGGGUGAGGUGUGAUUGGCUGAACGGAACGUCGGUUUGUUCGUCAUUUGCAUAAGCAGGUCGGGUUGAGGAUGCAGGGGAGUGGGCAGUACAGGGGGAAUGUAAGUGAACUGAACUUCUGCGGCGGUAUCGGCUUAAGAAUAAAUCUAAAGGCGCCAGACUUUAAUCCUGCGCUGAGAUUUUUGAGAAUCAGUGAAAGAAAAAAAUAUAUAUAUAUUUUCAUUUUUGUUUGAUUUAGAAUUUGGAUAUAUCAGGACGUAUCAGUUGGAACUGAACUUUUUUACACUAUAAAUAUUCUAAAGAGAACUUGACUGAGUGUGUGGGCCUGCACGCUGUCACUAUAACCUAUGAGAUCUAAAAGCAGAUCAUGUCCUGGGAAAGGCCUGCUCCACUCUAAAGCCCUCCCAGUGGUCUCUGCUUGUACUGAAGCCAACUUCCUACUCUUUUGAGAUACCUUAUUUAGGACCCAGGGGGCUUUUGCUUGCCUCCCCAGUUGACCUUACCAUCACUUGAGGCUGCUGGUGAGUUCUUUUUCUGUUUCAGUUUCACAAUUUUGGUUGUGAUCAGUUUUCCUGUCAAUGAUGAAAAAUUUGAGGUUUCUUUUUUUAGGCCACCUGGAAGUUAAUGUUACAUCAGUAGCAGUUUUGGAUAAAAGAGAUAUUGCUUCCUGUCCAGAACACUGAAAGUUAUUUAUCAGUUGCUAUCUAAUAUCUAACUAGUGCCUUAAGUGGUAUUUAAACUGGCUAUUUCAUUGUUGCAGAGUUUCUCUACUUUAAGAGGAUUUAAAACAAGGAUGUGAGGGCGACAAAAGGUGUAGGCCCAUUUGCUGAGGCCUUCAGACAUCCUGGUUGCAGGAUCAAGAUGUUUUAUCCUUCUAUACUGUUUUCCAGUCUGAACUCUCCAAAUAGAUAUAAAAUGUAACCGAAUAUUUAUUUUUAAAAGUCCGAAAAUGGUUCUAUGUUGUUGAAAUCUAAAUCUAAACCCUUUUAUAAUUAUCAUUUGAUAUAAUGCCUAAACGUAUUCAUAUUGUUGGGUUUUUUUUCUGACUUUUGCAUAAAUUUAAAGAAUAUUUGCCUCUUGUAGUCUUUUCAAUGUGUAUUUGUAUGUGCAUAA